GAUGAACGCUGGCGGCGUGCCUAAUACAUGCAAGUCGAGCGAACAGAUGAGGAGCUUGCUCCUCUGACGUUAGCGGCGGACGGGUGAGUAACACGUGGAUAACCUACCUAUAAGACUGGGAUAACUUCGGGAAACCGGAGCUAAUACCGGAUAAUAUAUUGAACCGCAUGGUUCAAUAGUGAAAGACGGUUUUGCUGUCACUUAUAGAUGGAUCCGCGCCGCAUUAGCUAGUUGGUAAGGUAACGGCUUACCAAGGCAACGAUGCGUAGCCGACCUGAGAGGGUGAUCGGCCACACUAGAACUGAGACACGGUCCAGACUCCUACGGGAGGCAGCAGUAGGGAAACUUCCGCAAUGGGCGAAAGCCUGACGGAGCAACGCCGCGUGAGUGAUGAAGGUCUUCGGAUCGUAAAACUCUGUUAUUAGGGAAGAACAAAUGUGUAAGUAACUAUGCACGUCUUGACGGUACCUAAUCAGAAAGCCACGGCUAACUACGUG
rnacentral:rRNA from 1 species